rnacentral:rRNA from 1 species
UGGGGAAUCUUUGGACAAUGGGCGCAAGCCUGAUCCAGCCAUGCCGCGUGAGCGAUGAAGGCCUUAGGGUUGUAAAGCUCUUUCACCGUGAAGAUAAUGACGGUAGCCGGAGAAGAAGCCCCGGCUAACUCCGUGCCAGCAGCCGCGGUAAUACGGAGGGGGCUAGCGUUGUUCGGAAUUACUGGGCGUAAAGCGCGCGUAGGCGGACUGAUCAGUCAGGGGUGAAAUCCCGGGGCUCAACCCCGGAACUGCCUUUGAUACUGUCAGUCUUGAGUCCGGAAGAGGCGAGUGGAAUAGCCGAGUGUAGAGGUGAAAUUCGUAGAUAUUCGGUGGAACACCAGUGGCGAAGGCGACUCGCUGGUCCGGUACUGACGCUGAGGUGCGAAAGCGUGGGGAGCAAAACAGGAUUCAGAUACCCUGGUAGUCCACGCCGUAAACGAUGAGUGCUAGUCGUCGGCAGGCAUGCCUGUCGGUGACGCAGCUAACGCAUUAAGCACUCCGCCUGGGAGUACGGCCGCAAGGUU